rnacentral:rRNA from 1 species
GACGAACGCUGGCGGCGUGCUUAACACAUGCAAGUCGAACGGAAAGGCCCUGCUUUUGUGGGGUGCUCGAGUGGCGAACGGGUGAGUAACACGUGAGUAACCUGCCCUUGACUUUGGGAUAAAUUCAGGAAACUGGGGCUAAUACCGGAUAGGAGCUCCUGCAGCAUGGUGGGGGUUGGAAAGUUUCGGCGGUUGGGGAUGGACUCGCGGCUUAUCAGCUGGUUGGUGGGGUAGUGGCUUACCAAGGCUUUGACGGGUAGCCGGCCUGAGAGGGUGACCGGCCACAUUGGUACUGAGAUACGGCCCAGACUCCUACGGGAGGCAGCAGUGGGGAGUAUUGCGCAAUGGGCGGAAGCCUGAUGCAGCAACGCCGCGUGCGGGAUGACGGCCUUCGGGUUGUAAACCGCUUUCGCCUGUGACGAAGCGUGAGUGACGGUAAUGGGUAAAGAAGCACCGGCUAACUACGUG